UGGGAUAUAGCCAAGCGGUAAGGCUACGGGUUUUGAAUCCGUUAUUCAAAGGUUCGAAUCCUUUUAUCCCAU
rnacentral:tRNA from 2 species